UUUCUGAGUCGGCUCCGGUGUUUUUAAUUAUAGCAGCGUCUUUAGGAGCAAGGAUUGUCAUUAUUGGAUUGGAAAAGUAAACCACCGUAGGUUUAGCAUCACCAAGCUCAAGAGGGGAUAACUGAGACGUGCAGCUUUCCUGCUGACACCUGCAUUCCCACCUAAGUACUGCAAGAGUGCACAUCACCUUACAAACACAGAGAAGAUGACACAGGCCUGCCCCGAGGAGCUUACAAUUCAACUUUGACAAACACCACAAAAAAUUCUGUGGACAGGAAAAGGUGGUAAUGCUCUUGGGUUAAAGAAGGGGUUUUCUGAAAGAGGGGAUUGUCUCCAGAAUAAAAAGUGAGUGGCAGAGGGUCAGGCACAAGGAAGUGACAGGCAGCAGUAGGGUGAACGUGGAGUACAGGACACCUGAUAAAAAAAGAUUGCACAGAGACAGGCUGGCA